AGAGUUUGAUUAUGGCUCAGAUUGAACGCUGGCGGAAUGCUUUACACAUGCAAGUCGAACGGUAGAGGGGGCAACCCCUCGAGAGUGGCGAACGGGUGAGUAAUAUAUCGGAACGUGCCCAGUCGUGGGGGAUAACGUAGCGAAAGUUACGCUAAUACCGCAUACGAUCUAAGGAUGAAAGCGGGGGAUCGCAAGACCUCGCGCGAUUGGAGCGGCCGAUAUCAGAUUAGGUAGUUGGUGGGGUAAAGGCUCACCAAGCCAACGAUCUGUAGCUGGUCUGAGAGGACGACCAGCCACACUGGAACUGAGACACGGUCCAGACUCCUACGGGAGGCAGCAGUGGGGAAUUUUGGACAAUGGACGAAAGUCUGAUCCAGCCAUUCCGCGUGCAGGAUGAAGGCCCUCGGGUUGUAAACUGCUUUUGUACGGAACGAAAAGGUUUCUAUUAAUACUAGGAGCUCAUGACGGUACCGUAAGAAUAAGCACCGGCUAACUACGUGCCAGCAGCCGCGGUAAUACGUAGGGUGCAAGCGUUAAUCGGAAUUACUGGGCGUAAAGCGUGCGCAGGCGGUUAUAUAAGACAGAUGU
rnacentral:rRNA from 1 species